GGACUACGCCGAAGAACCUUAACUGGCUUUGACAUGCCAAGUGGAGGGGAUCCCAAAUGGGAUCCCCCUUCGGGAGCUUGCACAACCGGUGCAAGGUUGUUGUCAACUCGUGUAGUGAAACGUUCGGUUAAGUUCGAAAACGAGCCCCAGCCCCGUGUCUAGUUUUUAGUGUCUAGACCGACUGCCGGCGACCAGCCGGAGGAAGGUGGGGAUGACGUCAAGUCAGCAUGGCCUUUAUGCCCAGGGCGACACACACGCUACAAUGGCUGGUACAAUGGGUCGUGAAGCCGCGAGGUGGAGCCAAUUUAAGAAAGCCAGUCGUAGUUCGGAUUGCAGGCUGCAACCCGCCUGCAUGAAGUUGGAGUUGCUAGUAAACGCCGGUCAGCCACACGGCGUUGAAUACGUUCCCGGGCCUUGUACACACCGCCCGUCACGUCAUGGGAGCUGGUCACGCCUGAAGUCGGGAAGCGAACCUUACGGGCGCUACCGCCGAGGGCAGGGCCGGUGACUGGGACGAAGUCGUAACAAGGUAGCUGUAGCGGAAGCUGCGGCUGGAUCACCUCCUUCUAGACUGCAGAA
rnacentral:rRNA from 1 species